rnacentral:rRNA from 1 species
GUCCAUGCCGUAAACGAUGGGUGCUAGGUGUGGCGGGCUUUGACCCCUGCCGUGCCUUAGCUAACGCAUUAAGCACCCCGCCUUGGAAGUACGGUCGCAAGACUAAAACUCAAAGGAAUUGACGGGGGCCCGCACAAGCGGUGGAGCAUGUGGUUUAAUUCGACGCAACGCGAAGAACCUUACCUGGGCUAGAAACGUAGGAACCCUGCUGAAAAGUGGGGGUGCUCUUCGGAGAACCUGCGGUUAGGUGCUGCAUGUCUGUCGU